rnacentral:rRNA from 1 species
GACGAACGCUGGCGGCGUGCCUAAUACAUGCAAGUAGAACGCUGAAGGAGGAGCUUGCUUCUCUGGAUGAGUUGCGAACGGGUGAGUAACGCGUAGGUAACCUGCCUGGUAGCGGGGGAUAACUAUUGGAAACGAUAGCUAAUACCGCAUAAUAGUAGAUGUUGCAUGACAUUUGCUUAAAAGGUGCAAUUGCAUCACUACCAGAUGGACCUGCGUUGUAAUAGCUAGUUGGUGGGGUAACGGCUCACCAAGGCGACGAUACAUAUCCGACCUGAGAGGGUGAUCGGCCAAACUGGGACUGAGACACGGCCCAGACUCCUACGGGAGGCAGCAGUAGGGAAUCUUCGGCAAUGGACGGAAGUCUGACCGAGCAACGCCGCGUGAGUGAAGAAGGUUUUCGGAUCGUAAAGCUCUGUUGUAAGAGAAGAACGAGUGUGAGAGUGGAAAGUUCACACUGUGACGGUAUCUUACCAGAAAGGGACGGCUAACUACGUG